CCUACGGGAGGCAGCAGUGGGGAAUAUUGCACAAUGGGGGAAACCCUGAUGCAGCGACGCCGCGUGAGUGAAGAAGUAUUUCGGUAUGUAAAGCUCUAUCAGCAGGGAAGAAAAUGACGGUACCUGAUUAAGAAGCCCCGGCUAACUACGUGCCAGCAGCCGCGGUAAUACGUAGGGGGCAAGCGUUAUCCGGAUUUACUGGGUGUAAAGGGGGCGUAGACGGCAGCACAAGUCUGGAGUGAAAUGCCGGGGCUUAACCCCGGAACUGCUUUGGAAACUGUGCAGCUAGAGUGCAGGAGAGGUAAGUGGAAUUCCUAGUGUAGCGGUGAAAUGCGUAGAUAUUAGGAGGAACACCAGUGGCGAAGGCGGCUUACUGGACUGUAACUGACGUUGAGGCUCGAAAGCGUGGGGAGCAAACAGGAUUAGAUACUCUUGUAGUC
rnacentral:rRNA from 1 species